GACGAACGCUGGCGGCGUGCUUAACACAUGCAAGUCGAACGGAAAGGCCCUGCUUUUGUGGGGUGCUCGAGUGGCGAACGGGUGAGUAACACGUGAGUAACCUGCCCUUGACUUUGGGAUAACUUCAGGAAACUGGGGCUAAUACCGGAUAGGAGCUCCUGCUGCAUGGUGGGGGUUGGAAAGUUUCGGCGGUUGGGGAUGGACUCGCGGCUUAUCAGCUUGUUGGUGGGGUAGUGGCUUACCAAGGCUUUGACGGGUAGCCGGCCUGAGAGGGUGACCGGCCACAUUGGGACUGAGAUACGGCCCAGACUCCUACGGGAGGCAGCAGUGGGGAAUAUUGCACAAUGGGCGGUAGCCUGAUGCAGCAACGCCGCGUGCGGGAUGACGGCCUUCGGGUUGUAAACCGCUUUCGCCUGUGACGAAGCGUGAGUGACGGUAAUGGGUAAAGAAGCACCGGCUAACUACGUG
rnacentral:rRNA from 1 species